rnacentral:rRNA from 1 species
CCUGCCAGUAGCAUAUGCUCAUCUCGAAGAUUAAGCCAUGCAUGUCUAAGAGCAAUCUGCUCCCUUCGGGGAGAACCGUGGAUCUGCGAAUAGCUCCUUACAAGAGUCAUAAACAAGCUAACAAUGCUUUGAUAAGGAUAGCGUUGUCAAAUGCAACGAUAAUACUUGAAAUAAGCGAUGGCGCAAAUCUCAGGAUUUGAUCGCCAUAAGUGUGGCCCUUUGGGCUGCGCAGACUAACGUCAAGUUAGCUUGAUAGAAGUGUUUCUUCCCUAUUAGCUGGGAUGGUAGGGUAAUGGCCUACCAUGGCUACUAUGGGUCCGGGGAAUCAGUGUUCGAUUCCGGAGAGGCAGCCUUAGAAACAGCUACCAUGUCCAAGGAUAGCAGCAGGCGCGAAAAUUACUCAAUUCUAACAAGAGAGAAGUAGUGAAAAGAAAUAACGAUUUCCUACAUCUGUGGGAAAGUACCUUACGGUUUGAAAUGGUCGCACUGUAAAUAGGUGCGAGAGUAUCAAGUGGAGGACAAGUCAGGUGCCAGCACCCGCGGUAAUUCCUGCUCCACAAGCAUAUACUAAUGUUGCUGUAGUUAAAACGUUCGUAGUCCAUAUAAGUGCCGAUCUGUGCGGAUCGUGCAGUCCAACUUCGAUUCCAGGGGGAAACCUCUGGGAUCGGGGGACUUGGGGGAAACCCCGGUCGGGGCUGUUCCUUGCCGACAAACCGUCUUCGGGCGGGACGGGGUUCGUACAGAGAAGCGCGAUCCACAACUGUGAGUAAAUCAGCGUGUUCAAAGCAGGCCCCGGGAGGAUUCAUCCUCCCUUGCGCUUGUAUGCUAAAGCAUGGAAUUGUAAUACUCUGACGUUUUGCGUCACAACUGUGGAAAAGGAAACAGACGGAGGGCACAAGUAUUCCGGUGACUAGGGGUGAAAUCCGUAUUCCCGGAAGACUACCAGAUGCGAAAGCGGUUUUGCCCACGGCGUUUCCGUUGAUCAAGAACGAGAGUCAAGGGAUCGAAGAUGAU